rnacentral:rRNA from 1 species
UGGGGAAUUUUGGACAAUGGGCGAAAGCCUGAUCCAGCAAUGCCGCGUGUGUGAAGAAGGCCUUCGGGUUGUAAAGCACUUUUGUCCGGAAAGAAAUCCUUGGCUCUAAUACAGUCGGGGGAUGACGGUACCGGAAGAAUAAGCACCGGCUAACUACGUGCCAGCAGCCGCGGUAAUACGUAGGGUGCAAGCGUUAAUCGGAAUUACUGGGCGUAAAGCGUGCGCAGGCGGUUUGCUAAGACCGAUGUGAAAUCCCCGGGCUCAACCUGGGAACUGCAUUGGUGACUGGCAGGCUAGAGUAUGGCAGAGGGGGGUAGAAUUCCACGUGUAGCAGUGAAAUGCGUAGAGAUGUGGAGGAAUACCGAUGGCGAAGGCAGCCCCCUGGGCCAAUACUGACGCUCAUGCACGAAAGCGUGGGGAGCAAAACAGGAUUAGAUACCCUGGUAGUCCACGCCCUAAACGAUGUCAACUAGUUGUUGGGGAUUCAUUUCCUUAGUAACGUAGCU